rnacentral:rRNA from 1 species
AAUCAACGCUGGCGGCGUGCCUCAGACAUGCAAGUCGAACGCGAAAGUCCCCUUCGGGGGACAAGUAGAGUGGCGCACGGGUGAGUAACACGUAGGUAAUCUACCUUCGGGCGGGGAAUAACAAUCGGAAACGGUUGCUAAUACCGCAUAAUGCAGCGGCACCUAAUGGUGACAGUUGUUAAAGCGGGGGAUCGCAAGACCUCGCACCUGAAGAGGAGCCUGCGGCGGAUUAGCAGUUGGUAGGGUAACAGCCUACCAAGGCGACGAUCCGUAGCCGGCCUGAGAGGGCGGUCGGCCACACUGACACUGACAU